AUUGAACGCUGGCGGUAGGCCUAACACAUGCAAGUCGAACGGCAGCACAGUAAGAGCUUGCUCUUACGGGUGGCGAGUGGCGGACGGGUGAGGAAUACAUCGGAAUCUACUUUUUCGUGGGGGAUAACGUAGGGACACUUACGCUAAUACCGCAUACGACCUACGGGUGAAAGCAGGGGAUCUUCGGACCUUGCGCGAUUGAAUGAGCCGAUGUCGGAUUAGCUAGUUGGCGGGGUAAAGGCCCACCAAGGCGACGAUCCGUAGCUGGUCUGAGAGGAUGAUCAGGCACACUGGAACUGAGACACGGUCCAGACUCCUACGGGAGGCAGCAGUGGGGAAUAUUGGACAAUGGGCGAAAGCCUGAUCCAGCCAUGCCGCGUGGGUGAAGAAGGGCUUCGGGUUGUAAAGCCCUUUUGGUGGGGAAGAAAAGCGGCAAGUUAAUACCCCGCUGUUCUGACGGUACCAAAAGAAUAAGCACCGGCUAACUUCGUG
rnacentral:rRNA from 1 species